GCCGAGAUGGCGGAAUUGGUAGACGCGCUAGUUUCAGGUACUAGUGGGCGCAAGCUCGUGGGGGUUCGAGUCCCUUUCUCGGCACCA
rnacentral:tRNA from 1 species